CUACUGCUGCCACUGCUACUACUACUACUACUACCACCACCACCAUUACCACUGCUGCUGCUACUGCUACUACUACUACUACUACCACUACCACCAUUACCACUGCUGCUACUGCUGCUACUGCUACUACUACUACCACCAUUACCACUGCUGCUACUGCUGCUACUGCUACUACUACCACUACUACUACUACUACUACUACCACCAUUACCACUGCUGCUGCUACUGCUACUACUACUACUACUACUACUACCACCAUUACCACUGCUGCUGCUACUACUACUACUACUACUACUACUACCACCAUUACCACUGCUGCUGCUACUACUACUACUACUACUACUACUACUACCACUACUACUACUACUACUACUACCACCAUUACCACUGCUGCUACUGCUGCUACUACUACUACUACUACUACUACCACCACCACCAUUACCACUGCUGCUGCUACUGCUACUACUACUACCACUACUACUACUACUACUACUACCACCAUUACCACUGCUGCUGCUACUGCUACUACUACUACUACUACUACUACUACCACCAUUACCACUGCUACUGCUACUACUACUACUACUACUACUGCUACUACCACCAUUACCGCUGCUGCUGCUGCUACUACUACUACUACUACUACUGCUAUUACUACUACUACUACUACUACUACUACUACUACUACCACCAUUACCACUGCUGCUACUGCAACUACUACUACCACCAUUACCACUGCUGCUACUGCUGCUACUGCUACUACUACUACUGCUACUACUACUACUACUGCUAUUACUGCUACUACUACUACUACUACUACCACCAUUACCACUGCUGCUGCUGCUACUACUACUACUACUACUACUACUACUACCACCAUUACCACUGCUGCUGCUACUGCUGCUACUACUACUACUACCAUUACCACUGCUGCUGCUACUGCUACUACUACUACUACCACUACUACUACCACUACUACUACUACUACCACUACUACUACUACCACUACUACUACUACUACUACUACUACCAUUACCACUGCUGCUGCUACUGCUGCUGCUGCUACUACUACUACUACUACUACUACUACUACCACUACUACUACCACCAUUUCCACUGCUGCUGCUGCUCCUCCUCCUACUACUACUACUACUACUACUACUACUACCACCACCAUUACCACUGCUACUACUACUACUACCACCACCACCAUUACCACUGCUGCUACUACUACUACUACUACCACCACCACCAUUACCACUGCUGCUACUACUACUACUGCUACUACUACUACUGCUGCUACUACUACUACUACUACUGCUACUGCUGCUACAGUAAUACUACUACCACUACUGCUUCUGCUGCUACUACUGCAGUCACUACUACUAGUGCUGCUGUUGCUGUUACUACAGUUACUGCUACAGCUCCAUGCUACCACCUUCAUCAUCAUAUUUUGUGAACUGGGACAUUUGCAAUGGGAUUUGUUUUGCCUUUUUGAACAAGGAGGUAGAAUCAAUGUGAGCAUGACUUUACAUUUGUGUUGUAUGUGUUCCUGAAUGCUACAUGUUCCUGCUUGCCAGUGUGUGUGUGUGUGUGUGUGUGUGUGUGUGUGUGUGUGUGUGUGUGUGUGUGUGUGUGUGUGUGUGUGUGUGUGUGCAUUCCUGCAUGCCAGCUUGUGUGUGUAUAUGUGUGGUGAAAUCGGUAUGCUGGUCGGGAGGGCUGUGUUGUUUUGUAUGCUGGUCGGGAGGGCUGUGUUGUUUUGGAUGCUGGUCGGGAGGGCUGUGUUGUUUUGUAUGCUGGUCGGGAGGGCUGUGUUGUUUUGGAUGCUGGUCGGGAGGGCUGUGUUGUUUUGUAUGCUGGUCGGGAGGGCUGUGUUGUUUUGGAUGCUGGUCGGGAGGGCUGUGUUGUUUUGGAUGCUGGUCGGGAG
rnacentral:lncRNA from 1 species